UAUUCAUAUAAUCCAGUACAAAACUCACUUCGGCGAUACAGAGAAGAUUAGUAUGGCCCCUGCACAAGGAUGACAUGCAUAUCCUUGAAGCGUUCCAUAUUUUU
ensembl:snRNA U6 U6 spliceosomal RNA